AGUGAACGCUGGCGGUGGGCCUAACACAUGCAAGUCGAACGGCAGCACAGUAAGAGCUUGCUCUCACGGGUGGCGAGUGUCGCACGGCUGAGGAAAACAUCGGGAUCCACAUUUUCGAGGGUGGCAACGUAGGGAAACUUUCGCUAAUACCGCAUACCCCGUACGGGUGAAAUCAUUUGAUCUUCGGAUCCUGUGCGAUUGCAUGUGCCGAUGUCGGAUUAGCUAGUUGGCGGGGUAAAGGCGCACCAAGGCGACGAUCCGUAGCUAGUCUGAGAGGAUGACCAGACACACUGGAACUGAGCCGCGGUCCAGACUCCUACGUGCGGCAGCAGUGGGGAGUAUUGGACAAUGGGCGCAAGCCUGAUCCGGCCGUACCGUGUGGGUGAAGAAGGCCUUCGGGUUGUAAAGCCCUUUUGUUGGGAAAGAAAAGCAGCAGGUUAGUCCCCCGCGGUUCUGACGGUACCCAAAGAAUAAGCACCGGCUGACUUCGUG
rnacentral:rRNA from 1 species